rnacentral:rRNA from 1 species
CAGCAGCCGCCGCGGGAAUACGAAGGGUGCAAGCGUUAAUCGGAAUUACUGGGCGUAAAGCGUGCGUAGGCGGCUUUUUAAGUCUGCUGUGAAAUCCCUGGGCUUAACCUGGGAAUGGCAGUGGAUACUGGCAAGCUAGAGUGUGUCAGAGGAUGGUAGAAUUCCCGGUGUAGCGGUGAAAUGCGUAGAGAUCGGGAGGAACAUCAGUGGCGAAGGCGGCCAUCUGGGACUACACUGACGCUGAGGUACGAAAGCGUGGGGAGCAAACAGGAUUAGAUACCCGAGUAGUCCCUGUCUCUUAUAC